GCGGGCGUGGCGGAAUGGUAGACGCAUGGCACUUAAAAUGCCUUGGGCUAGGCCCGUGCGGGUUCGAGUCCCGCCGCCCGCACCA
rnacentral:tRNA from 1 species